rnacentral:rRNA from 1 species
UGGUUUGAUUCUGGCUCAGGAUGAACGCUGGCGGCGUGCCUAACACAUGCAAGUCGAGCGAUUUACUUCGGUAAAGAGCGGCGGACGGGUGAGUAACGCGUGGGUAACCUGCCCUGUACACACGGAUAACAUACCGAAAGGUAUGCUAAUACGAGAUAAAAUACUUUUAUCGCAUGGUAGAAGUAUCAAAGCUUUUGCGGUACAGGAUGGACCCGCGUCUGAUUAGCUAGUUGGUAAGGUAACGGCUUACCAAGGCGACGAUCAGUAGCCGACCUGAGAGGGUGAUCGGCCACAUUGGAACUGAGACACGGUCCAAACUCCUACGGGAGGCAGCAGUGGGGAAUAUUGCACAAUGGGCGAAAGCCUGAUGCAGCAACGCCGCGUGAGCGAUGAAGGCCUUCGGGUCGUAAAGCUCUGUCCUCAAGGAAGAUAAUGACGGUACUUGAGGAGGAAGCCCCGGCUAACUACGUGCCAGCAGCCGCGGUAAUACGUAGGGGGCUAGCGUUAUCCGGAAUUACUGGGCGUAAAGGGUGCGUAGGUGGUUUCUUAAGUCAGAGGUGAAAGGCUACGGCUCAACCGUAGUAAGCCUUUGAAACUGGGGAACUUGAGUGCAGGAGAGGAGAGUGGAAUUCCUAGUGUAGCGGUGAAAUGCGUAGAUAUUAGGAGGAACACCAGUUGCGAAGGCGGCUCUCUGGACUGUAACUGACACUGAGGCACGAAAGCGUGGGGAGCAAACAGGAUUAGAUACCCUGGUAGUCCACGCCGUAAACGAUGAGUACUAGCUGUCGGAGGUUACCCCCUUCGGUGGCGCAGCUAACGCAUUAAGUACUCCGCCUGGGAAGUACGCUCGCAAGAGUGAAACUCAAAGGAAUUGACGGGGACCCGCACAAGUAGCGGAGCAUGUGGUUUAAUUCGAAGCAACGCGAAGAACCUUACCUAAGCUUGACAUCCUUUUGACCGAUGCCUAAUCGCAUCUUUCCCUUCGGGGACAGAAGUGACAGGUGGUGCAUGGUUGUCGUCAGCUCGUGUCGUGAGAUGUUGGGUUAAGUCCCGCAACGAGCGCAACCCUUGCCUUUAGUUGCCAGCAUUAAGUUGGGCACUCUAGAGGGACUGCCAGGGAUAACCUGGAGGAAGGUGGGGAUGACGUCAAAUCAUCAUGCCCCUUAUGCUUAGGGCUACACACGUGCUACAAUGGGUGGUACAGAGGGCAGCCAAGUCGUGAGGCGGAGCUAACCCCUUAAAGCCAUUCUCAGUUCGGAUUGUAGGCUGAAACUCGCCUACAUGAAGCUGGAGUUACUAGUAAUCGCAGAUCAGAAUGCUGCGGUGAAUGCGUUCCCGGGUCUUGUACACACCGCCCGUCACACCACGGAAGUUGGGGGCGCCCGAAGCCACUUAGCUAACCCUUUUGGGAAGCGAGUGUCGAAGGUGAAAUCAAUAACUGGGGUGAAGUCGUAACAAGGUAACC